rnacentral:lncRNA from 1 species
UCCGAUAUGUGAGCACAAAUUAUUGUUCUCUAUAACAAUCCUUAUGGUUGCAUAUUUUCAACAAAUUCAAAUUAUGAAUUGCUCAAGUAUCUGCCAAAUGAUCUUAUUAUAUAAGCUAUUUCCGGAUGCAUAUAAAUAAGAUCAUACAUAAGUUUCUCAAAGCUGAAGCAUAUAGGAAAAUACUUUGUUUUCUAAAUUUCCAGAUUUUUCUUUUGAACAAUGAUUGAGACUAGUUAGUCUCCCUUUAUAAUUAAGGCAAUUCCUUAGUUUAUUGACUUUCAUGUCGAAUUUAAUUUCAACUUUAUUGAUACGACUCUUUUGUUAUACCCAAAUUAUACAUUGAGAAUAAUCUCUAAGUAUCAAUGCCUAAUACAAAAGAGAAGUGCCCAAGAUCUUUUGUCACUAAACUUUUGUUAGUGAUUUCUUGAUUUUGCACAACAAUCAUAUAUCAUUAUUGACUAAAUAAAAUAAAUUCGACACAUUAAAUUUAGAAUAUAAACAUAC